GAGGGUAUAGCUCAGUGGUAGAGCAUGUGCUUAGCAAGCAUGAAGUUCUGGGUUCAAUCCCCAGUGCCUCUA
rfam:Camelus ferus unplaced genomic scaffold scaffold765, whole genome shotgun sequence.